rnacentral:rRNA from 1 species
UACGUAGGGACCGAGCGUUGUCCGGAAUCAUUGGGCGUAAAGAGCGUGUAGGCGGCCCCUUAAGUCCUGCGUGAAAUCCUGCGGCUCAACCGCAGACGGUCGUGGGAAACUGGAGGGCUAGAGUGCGGGAGAGGAGAGUGGAAUUCCCGGUGUAGCGGUGAAAUGCGCAGAUAUCGGGAAGAACACCCGUGGCGAAGGCGGCUCUCUGGGCCUUACCUGACGCGUGAGGAGCGAAAGCGUGGGUACGCGAACAGG